UGGGGAAUUUUGGACAAUGGGCGAAAGCCUGAUCCAGCAAUGCCGCGUGUGUGAAGAAGGCCUUCGGGUUGUAAAGCACUUUUGUCCGGAAAGAAAUCCUUGGCUCUAAUACAGUCGGGGGAUGACGGUACCGGAAGAAUAAGCACCGGCUAACUACGUGCCAGCAGCCGCGGUAAUACGUAGGGUGCAAGCGUUAAUCGGAAUUACUGGGCGUAAAGCGUGCGCAGGCGGUUUGCUAAGACCGAUGUGAAAUCCCCGGGCUCAACCUGGGAACUGCAUUGGUGACUGGCAGGCUAGAGUAUGGCAGAGGGGGGUAGAAUUCCACGUGUAGCAGUGAAAUGCGUAGAGAUGUGGAGGAAUACCGAUGGCGAAGGCAGCCCCCUGGGCCAAUACUGACGCUCAUGCACGAAAGCGUGGGGAGCAAACAGGAUUAGAUACCCUGGUAGUCCACGCCCUAAACGAUGUCAACUAGUUGUUGGGAUUCAUUCCUUAGUAACGUAGCUAACGCGUGAAGUUGGCCGCCUGGGGAGUACGGUCGCAAGAUUAAAACUCAAAUGAAUUGACGGGGUCAUAGCUG
rnacentral:rRNA from 1 species